UUAAUUCGAAGCAACGCGAAGAACCUUACCUAAGCUUGACAUCCCAAUGACAUCUCCUUAAUCGGAGAGUUCCCUUCGGGGCCAUUGGUGACAGGUGGUGCAUGGUUGUCGUCAGCUCGUGUCGUGAGAUGUUGGGUUAAGUCCCGCAACGAGCGCAACCCUUGUCUUUAGUUGCCAUCAUUAAGUUGGGCACUCUAGAGAGACUGCCAGGGAUAACCUGGAGGAAGGUGGGGAUGACGUCAAAUCAUCAUGCC
rnacentral:rRNA from 1 species